rnacentral:lncRNA from 1 species
GUCUGGCUCAUGUGUGGGGGAAGGCUGAAACAGAGCCAAUUGGCUGCCUGUCAGUGCAUAAUCCAAACAUGGCCAAGGCCCCUUGACCAGCAAUAAACCAGCUCUGGGAAAACAGACCCUGGAGCCAAGGAUACAGCUCUUGCCUCAGUAAUGAUUAACCGGCAGCCAGGGGGCCCUGGAGGUCAGGGUGAUCAUGAGAAAGGCUCCCGUAAGCCUACCCCAAGUGCAGGGGGCCCUGAGGAAGCCAGCCUGGUGUCACUACUCGCCAGGGCUUCCCACCUCCAUGGAGGGCAUACUUCUCAACCACCCAGCAGUCCCUCGCCUCUGUCACGGGGACAGGAGCCCUGGCAUCACAGAGAGAGAGAAUGGGCCCUUGUAAAGUCCAAGAAGGAGCUUUGGAAACACAGUCACAAACUGGCCAUGACCCCAAACCUAGGCUCUGGUCACCACUGACGGCUGCCUCGCUGACACCAGACAGAGGUAAAGCUGCGAUGGGAUUGCCAAAACGGGCCUCUGCCUUCUCGGUUUUGGUAAGUUGGCUUAAACCCCAUUACCGUCUCAAGUUGACACUGAUGAAAGCUUUGUAUUCAGUUGGGCUGAGAACAGGUAACUCGGGGGACAAAACCAGCAGGUUUUACUGGUCCCAACCCAGAGAGCCAGAAGAAGCCCAGAAAUGUACAGGACUGUGUGGCAGAGAACUUGUGCCCAAAGUUGCCAAACCUCUUACCUUUGCCUGGCACUUGAGACAACCAGCUGAUAUCUGUGCAGGUACUCAGGUGGGGUGAGGGUUGUGGUAACCGUUGGAGUUUUUUGCUGAGAACUUGAGUUGGGGGGAAGACAUUUGGAAGUCGCACUACAUACGCGAUGUGAGAGUGUUGUCACUUAGAACACAUGGGGAAGGGUUUGUGGUGUGCUGGUUUCGAACUCAGGUCCCUUGUCUGAUCUAUCAGAUUCUGCCAGAAGGCUCUGGGCCACUUGCACUGGCCCCCUGCUUCCGGGUAGAAACUCCAGCCCCCUCAGCAACUGCCACUCCAGAGUUCCUCACAUUAGGGAAGGUCCCCCUCUGCGCCCUGAUCUUUGAGACUUCAGGUAAGACUUGAAUACUGCAGAAGCUGCGAAGAGGUGGUUGGGUGGCAGAGCCUUUCAAAUCUGUGUGUUUCUCUGAAUGUAGAGAUGCGUUUAUAGUAUGUAGGGGCUGUGUUUUCCCUCAGCCAGAUUUAUUCAUU